AGCUUUGCCCAAUGGCAGUAUCAUAGCCAAUGAGGUUUAUCUGAGGUGUGAUUAUUGCUAAUUGACACCAAAGCAAUCCAUAACUGAGGUAGAAAAGUUUGCAGGGAAAAGCUAACACAUUUGCCCUGAGGCUGUUACCUUUAGAAGGUCUUGUUUUUAAGAC
rnacentral:snRNA from 1 species